UGGCUUUCUGAAGACCUCCCUUUUGACACUGGGUUCUCAUCCAUGUAUCCCUGAUGGUGAUCAGAGGGAUGCUUUGGAUUCUGUGUCUGGGAAGAGCAGUUUGGGGUACAGUUCCUGCAUUCGCCACUGAGCCGGUCAGAUUGUCCUUGCUUCUCCAUUUCAUCAGGACCUCCACUUCCACAACACCUCCUCACCCAGGCUGGUCUGGAUCUCGACUUCCUGUGAGCUUCUCAGGAGGCCUCUCUCCUAGUCACCCAGAACAUAGUAGCCUCAGUCAAGCUGCACCUCAUCUGUAGGUUUUAAUUCUCAGCUCAGCACUUAUGAACAGGUGUUUUAUUUUUAGUCUUAAUUUAUUAUCUGACUUCCCUCGUGCGAGUGUAGGUGUGUGAGAGCCAGGGACCCAUCUUCCUUGGUCAUUGUAGUUUCUCCAGUCGAUAGAGCCAUGCCUGGCCUGAAGCAGAUGGUCAAUAACUGGGAAUGAAUGAAUGAAUGAAUGGAUGAAUGGUUGAAUCCUGACGGUGCUCUUCUGAGAAGGCUUUUUGCCUAGGGUAGACGUGUGAGCUUCUGAAUGUGAUUCCUGGACUGGCUCCUGUGUACGAAC